rnacentral:rRNA from 1 species
GACGAAGGGGGCAAGCGUUGUUCGGAAUUACUGGGCGUAAAGGGCGCGUAGGCGGUUCUUUAAGUCAGGCGUGAAAGCCCUGGGCUCAACCUGGGAGUGGCGCUUGAUACUGGAGGACUAGAGAGUGGGAGAGGUUGGUGGAAUUCCCAGUGUAGAGGUGAAAUUCGUAGAUAUUGGGAAGAACACCGGUGGCGAAGGCGGCCAACUGGACCAUUCUGACGCUGAGGCGCGAAAGCGUGGGGAGCAAACAGG